rnacentral:lncRNA from 1 species
CUCAGAAAAUAUGCCAUCAGUUGCUCUAUAGUUAUACUGUACUAGGUUUUUCUUAGGAAUCACAAUUCUGAUAUAUCCAAGUGUACUUACUACAUGUAUUUGGUCAAAUCAAAUAUAAUACAGUAGUACUAACAAUUACAUGGUUCUAUAUAAUAACAUAUAGAUAUAGGAAGAUGUGGUGUGAGUGCCAAUGAGACAAAUCUCCAUCCAAAUAACAAAUUAUAAAAGUAAACCAUUAUAGGCCACUGUAC